AUGUUUCCUUUGUUUGAUUUCUGAUUCAUUUUGAACAUUAUUACCCAGUUAAAUUGAUUAGUUAUUGAUUUGGUUAUGUUUUGGUGUGUUUUCUUUAUGAGUCCCUUUCCCUAAUUGUGUUUCUUUUCCCCCUACAGAGCUGACGGCCAACGGUGGUGGUGGUGGUCCUCCAAGGUGGUGGUGAUCCCUGAGUGUGUGCGUUUUAUUUGACUCCCCGUUUGAAGAUUUAUUUGUGUGCACCUUAUGUUUGCUGUGAGUGGGGUGUUCUCUUUUCUUUGGACGUCACCAGUUUUGACCCCUCCUCUAGCCCGUG
rnacentral:lncRNA from 1 species